UUGAAUAACACUGCAACCAUUUGUUUUAACUUGUUAUUAAAUAUCAAAUUUUUGAAGAUGACGUUCCUGAGAAGAAGUAUUAUUCAGUUUGCUGAAGCAGUUUUAUUAUCAUGAACAUUGUGGUAUUAGUACAAUUUGAUAAAAUCUACAAAAUUGACAUUUAUUCAAAUACAUAAUCAAUACUACAUAACUAUUUAUUUAAAUUGCACUAUAACAGCUAAAUAAGAAAUGACAGAGCUUCAUUCGUUGAUAAAGAUGGCAACUUUUCUAAUACCUCGAGACAUACUGGUGACGUGUGUUUUGCUUCUGAAUUUAGUUUGUGACAAUUCAUUAAUAAACUAAUACUAACAAUCUACAAAUACAAAAAUUG